CCAGCAGCUGCGGUAAUUCCAGCUCUAAUAGCGUAUAUUAAAAUUGUUGCAGUUAAAAAGCUCGUAGUCGGAUGUCGGGCUCGGGCAGGCUGUCGGCUUCGGUCGGACGGCAGGCUCGGGUCUUUCUGCCUGAGGAUCCUGUUGCACUUUAUUGUGGGGCUGGGGACGCAGGCCGUUUACUUUGAAAAAAUUAGAGUGUUCAAAGCAGGCCUACGCUUGAAUACAUUAGCAUGGAAUAAUGGAAUAGGACUUUGGUGCUAUUUUGUUGGUUUAUGGGACCGAAGUAAUGAUUAACAGGGACAGUUGGGGCCGUUUAUAUUUCGUUGUCAGAGGUGAAAUUCUUGGAUUUACGAAAGAUAAACUUCUGCGAAAGCAUUCGGCAAGGAUGUUUUCAUUGAUCAAGAACGAAAGU
rnacentral:rRNA from 1 species